CCUACGGGUGGCAGCAGUGAGGAAUAUUGGUCAAUGGACGCAAGUCUGCACCAGCCAAGUAGCGUUCAGGAUGACGGCCCUCCGGGUUGUAAACUUCUAUUAGUUGUGAAUAAAAGGGGGCUCGUGAGCCCCGUAUUGUAUGUACCAUCAGAAAAAGGACCGGAUAAUUCCGUGCCAGCACCCGCGGUAAUACGGAAGGUCCGGGCUUUAUCCGGAUUGAUUGGGUUUAAAGGGCGCGUAGGCCGUCUUUUAAGUCAGCUGUGAAAGUCCGCGGCUCAACCGUGGAAUUGCAGUUGAAACUGGAGGCCUUGAGUGCACACAGGGAUGCCGGAAUUCAUGGUGUAGCGGUGAAAUGCUUAGAUAUCAUGAAGAACUCCGAUCGCGAAGGCAAGUGUCCGGGGUGCAACUGACGCUGAGGCUCGAAAGUGCGGGUAUCAAACAGGAUUAGAUACCCCGGUAGUC
rnacentral:rRNA from 1 species